CCUCUCUGAUCGGCCGGGGCUGCUCGUGCUCGGGGAAGCUCAGCCUCCUCCUUCACGCUUACAUUAUGUAGGGCAGGUUCGGGACGGCUCCUACCUCCAUGUAAGAAACCGGCGAAUGUUGACGGGGAGGGAAAAAAAAAACGCGCCCAUCAAACACACACACACAGCAGCGUUUUUCCCGGUGCAGCAUCAUUGUGCAGCGCAUUGUGAGGCCGAGGAGAGGGAGGAAAGAAGAUGGACAUCACGGACCAAGGAGCCCAAAUGGAGCCGCUCUUACCCACGGAACAAAGUUCCCAAGAAAAUAAAGAUGUGAGAACUGAUGAAGAGGCGGUGGUGGACCGGGGCGGCACACGCUCCAUGCUCAACACCAACUUCGAGAAGGAAGAGC